GAUGACACAGGAUGCCCUCUGGAAAACUGGAGAGCCUGGCCCCUGGAGGACCCCCUCCAAAGCUGGGCCCUGGCAGGGUAGGAGGGCAGGCCUCUUGAGCAAAACCACUGAACACGGAGAGCCCCACUCCCCGAUCAGGUUAGUGCCAGAGCAGAGCAGGCCAGCUGACCAGUACAGUUCAGAGGCACCAGGCCAGGGAAGCAAGACCACGCAUGAGGACAGGUUCAGAACCAGAGGCUGAGAGUGGUAGGAAGGGAGAAGAUCAGGAAAGAGGCCCAGAGCAGCUCUCUGGCAGGGGCCAGAGUUGUGAGCCCAGCCGGCAGACCCUGCCCACCAGGAGCUUACAGACAGACAACCACGUUGGCAGACAGACAACCAUGGAAACAAAGUGGGAGCUGGGGCAGAGAAUAACUGGGUGCGGGGCUUGCUGGGAGGACCUGCUUUCCAGCGAGAGGUUAGGAAGGGACAUGGGAGCUGAGGCCUGAACGCCACGUUGGAGAUAACCAGGCAGAGGACGAAGAGAGAGGUGGCCGGACAGACAACCAUAAAGACAGUGCCUCAGGACCAGCAAGCUCCAGCUCUACCGAGAGACGGAAACCCCAAGGAGCCCCCCAUCACAUAGAACGGGCAUCCACCUGCUUCCCGAGUGAUCAAGUCCCCCAUGGAGAGAUGUUUUCCUCUUCAGCACAAACCCCAUCAAACACCCAUCCCUUGCCAGCUGUCACAAAUAAAUGCACUUGCAGAGACUCCUCUAUUCA